rnacentral:rRNA from 1 species
AAGACCUUGCACUUUUGGAGCGGCCGAUGUCUGAUUAGCUAGUUGGUGGGGUAAUGGCCUACCAAAGCUUCGAUCAGUAGCUGGUCUGAGAGGACGGCCAGCCACACUGGGACUGAGACACGGCCCAGACUCCUACGGGAGGCAGCAGCGGGGAAUUUUGGACAAUGGGCGCAAGCCUGAUCCAGCCAUGCCGCGUGAGUGAAGAAGGCCUUCGGGUUGUAAAGCUCUUUCAGCCGGGAAGAAAAGGUUGCGAUUAAUAAUCGCAAUUUAUGACGGUACCGGAAGAAGAAGCACCGGCUAACUACGUGCCAGCAGCCGCGGUAAUACGUAGGGUGCGAGCGUUAAUCGGAAUUACUGGGCGUAAAGGGUGCGCAGGCGGUUUUGUAAGUCAGAUGUGAAAUCCCCGGGCUUAACCUGGGAACU